UGGAUUGCAAGAGGGCACAGGCCAGGCCAAGGGACCCCACCGGUGCACGAUUGUGGCCGGAGAGGUAUGCGGGAGGUCAACCACUAGGUCAGACACUUACCAUAUUAGGCUUAGAGAGAGAGAGAGAGAGAUUGUAAUUCACAGUGCAGAAUGCUCAGCACACACUUUCCCUCCAGCCCCUGGUCUUGGAGACCUCAUGUCCUUCCAAGGCUCUGCUCACCCUCUUCAGCUGCCGCCCGAAGUAAAUUGCAUCGUGUGCGUGGAAACCCUUUGCAGGCUCCAUGGGUGUGUCUUUACUUCGCUGCAGUUCUGAUUACUCCAACAUAAGGAGAGACACCCUCAUUAUCAGGAGGUCUUAGAAAAAUACCCCAGUACA